CCUCCGUUUGUCAGCAGUAUUUAAUCUUCCACAAUUUUCUCAAUCCUUAUUUAUCAACACCUCUUUAUUUAAUAAUUUUUUCUUCUCUUAAACCUCUUUUUUUUUAGAAUAACCUUCUUUAUAUUAACUGUUCACGCAGUGACGGUAUCCAACCAGAAAGUCACGGCUACCUCCGUGCCAGCAGCCGCGGUAAUACUUAGGUGGCAAGCGUUUUCCGGAUUCAUUUGUCGUAAAGCGAGCGCAGGCGGUCGCUUAGGUCUGAUGUGAAAGCCUUCGGCUUAACCGAAGAAGUGCAUGGGAAACCGGGCGACUUGAGUGCAGAAGAGGACAGUGGAACUCCAUGUGUAGCGGUGGAAUGCGUAGAUAUAUGGAAGAACACCAGGGGCGAAGGCGACUGUCUGGUCUGCAACUGACGCGGAGGCGCGAAAGCAUGGGUAGCGAACAGGAUGAGAGACCCGGGUAGUC
rnacentral:rRNA from 1 species